GCAGCCACGGGGGCCAGAGGUGAAGCCCUGACCUGGAAAGGAGCCUUUGUGGGGUGGUGAUUUAUGGCCAAGUUGUACAGCCAUCACUGGAGGACGUCCUAGCAGCUCCUGCCACAAUCAUCUCGUAGAAAUCUCUCUUCUUACUGGAAAUUUGUUGUUUAAGGAGAUGUUGAUCAAACCAGCACUCCUGUCUGGGCUCUGAACACGCUUGGAGGUCAAGUUGCAGCAUGCAGAAAGAAUCAACACCAUGGACAAAGAGGUGGUUGAAUGUGAUGAUGGGCACAGCAACAACAAAACCCAGUCGUUCUGAAUGAAAACCUUUUGGGAAAGCUUGGCUUUGAGCUUGGAACUGGAGUGGAGAACAUGUCUGGGCUCGCUGGGAGGUGAUGCAAGGCUCGGUGUGAAAAUCCACCUGAGGUAUUCCCUGGGGACUUUGGUAACUGCUGCUUGUUCUGGGCUCUGAUCUCCAGCAACAAGAUCCACAGGGAUAAAGGCAGGGCUUGCUUCCAGGGGAGCUGAGUGAGGAGUAUGAAUAAGAAUCUUCAAGGAGGCACAUUCGUCUUAUCCAUGGCUUAUCCAUUCAAAAGCUGCGGUGCUUGGAGUGCUGAAGGCUUGGCAAGGUGUGAGGAGAGCGGGCCUGGAGGCUGCUGGAGGGGUGUAGGAAAGUCUUCCGAGAUGACUCAGCCCAGGAUGAAAGAGAGGGAAUUUUGGGGGAGGGAAGGAAAACUGAAACUGGCUUCUUUUCAAUUUUCGAAAGACUCCAGAGGGGCAGGGGCAGGGUGGGGCUGGACAGGAGGAAAGCAGGGCUGGAUGCAGAAAAUAUGAUUAAAUAAAGGAGCCCCUGAGCUGGACAGUGCUCAGGUGGAGAUGCUCUGGCUGCUUCUCAUUCCUGAUUUACCAGGAAAGUGGGAAAAUAUGAGCGGGAGGCAUUAGUCAUGCCAUUCCGUGUAGUCCUCAAAUACAUUGGAUUACUGGAGAAUUCACUAAUAGAGAGGUGGGUGAUGACUUAUAAACAAAGAGCUUUUAGGGCAGGAAGUCCCAGUUGUUGAGUGAUAAUAAUUGACUGUAAUUAUUUUAAAUAGAACACUGCCAAAGAAUGAAAAAUGGUGCAAUUCCCUCUUGUUGGACAGUGCUGUAGGCAUCAAAAAAAAAAUAAAAAUAAAUGAAUUCUGCACAAGGAAAAAUGCCUUUCCUGCCAAACCUGCCAGGCCAAGACACUCAAGCUUUUGUGAGUCCAGGGGGAAAAAUUUCUAAAAAUGGUUUAUAUAUCUAUUAUCACCACUGUACACCUGUAGGGCUCUGUAGAACCACAGCAAUGCAACCAGACAGAUGGGAAACAACUUCUGAGCCUCCUGCAGGUGAUUCUGGUGAACAGGAAAAAUCUGUUGUGCUCAAAAUUUCUUAUGGAAAAAGACCAAGGACAGCAUGCAAAAUAAAAGUAUUUGAAGUUUUUACUA